AUUUUUGCAGAAUUGGUUAGAGAGGUAGUGCUAGUUUGGUUCCUCUUUGACUCGCUUUCAGAACAUGACAGGCUUCCUUCUUUAACAAUGACCUCCUAAUUUUGGAUGCCUUCGUGAUUCAUAAGGUAUCAGGUUUAGUCUUGUGUCGUAUAACAUUUUGGCUCAGGCGUAUGUGAAGAGCUCCUUGUUUCCCCACUCUCCAUCUUCUUGUCUCAAGUGGAAAGCCCGCUCGCAGGCAAUUUUGAGUGUUCUCAAGAACCUUGGAGUCGAUUCUCUGCCUACAGG